UAUUCCACUUGAAGGAAAAGGCUUGUAGAUGUACUCUGCUUUCUUUUUUACUUAUAUAUUGGGUGUCCUCUCUUAAUACGGAAACUCUCCUAAAUAAUAAUUUUUAUGGUACAAAUCCAUUGGAGAUUUGGAUCUCUUACUUAUCUAUGAUUAAGGGAUCAAGGAGUGAGAUUGAUGUUUGCGAUCCCUUCCUAUCACCCCAACUUGUAUAAUAAGUUAAGUAAAUUGACUGCACUUGUGGGGAAUUAAGAGUUACCUUUAUUUUAUUUACUCUUUCUCAUAACAUGUCUUAGGUAUACAAACCAUAAUGAUAUAUCCCCUAUAUCUCGUUAACAUGCAUGCUAGAUAAUUGAAAAUUUUGUUUGUUGCCAAAGUUCAUUGGAAAUAGACGCCAAUUAUACCUCCUUAAUGUUGCUAGGUUGAAAUUUUGCUUCUCACUGAACUCACUCCAAAAAGUAUUGUUGUCCAUAAUGCUACAGAGGUUACUAAAGUUGUGGUCAAGCCAGUGGCACGGCUUUUGGUGAUACUUUACCCAGUUGGAAGAUUUGUCACAUACCUAUCAAUGGGGAUGUUUAAAAUGCUUGGUAUGAAAGGGAGAAGGGUAUGAUUGGGAAUGUUCUUGAGAUAAAAGAUACACAUGUGAGAGAGGUGAUGACACCUUUAAUUGAUGUGGUUGCAAUUGAUGGCAGUGCCACACUGGUGGACUUCCACAAUUUGUGGGUGACUCAUGAGUACUCAUGAGAACGGGGACGAAACCCUAGCCAUUAUGGAAGAGAAUCAUCCACAGUUGCCUUCAGCUAGUGGAUCUUCGAGUUUUGAUAUGAAAACUGCUAUUCGGGCCGCGGUAAAGGAGUGUUUUCAAGCUGCCUUACCGGAAUUAAUUUCUGUCGUCCAGUUGUAGUCAACAAAAAGCCGCCGUCAAUGGGAGCCGCACAUGGACAGAUCUGAAGAAUACACAAACGUACGGCCGCA